rnacentral:rRNA from 1 species
GAUGAACGCUGGCGGCGUGCUUAACACAUGCAAGUCGAACGAAGCACUUUAUUUGAUUUCCUUCGGGACUGAUUAUUUUGUGACUGAGUGGCGGACGGGUGAGUAACGCGUGGGUAACCUGCCUUGUACAGGGGGAUAACAGUUGGAAACGGCUGCUAAUACCGCAUAAGCGCACAGCAUCGCAUGAUGCAGUGUGAAAAACUCCGGUGGUAUAAGAUGGACCCGCGUUGGAUUAGCUAGUUGGUGAGGUAACGGCCCACCAAGGCGACGAUCCAUAGCCGAACUGAGAGGGUGACCGGCCACAUUGGGACUGAGACACGGCCCAAACUCCUACGGGAGGCAGCAGUGGGGAAUAUUGCACAAUGGGCGAAAGCCUGAUGCAGCGACGCCGCGUGAGCGAAGAAGUAUUUCGGUAUGUAAAGCUCUAUCAGCAGGGAAGAUAAUGACGUUACCUGACGAAGAAGCACCGGCUAAAUACGUG